rnacentral:rRNA from 1 species
AGUGAAUAGAUACCCCGGUAGUCCACGCUGUAGACGAUGGGUACUAGGCUUUGUGGGAAUAGACCCCUGCAGAGCCGGAGCUAACGCAAUAAGUACCCCGCCUGGGAAGUACGGUCGCAAGACUAAAACUCAAAGGAAUUGACGGGGGCCCGCACAAGCGGUGGAUCAUGUGGUUUAAAUUCGAAGCAACGCGCAAAACCUUACCUGGGUUUGACAUCCCCGGACAAACGUAGAAAUACGUCUUCGUAGCAAUACGACCGGGAGACAGGUGCUGCAUGGCUGUCGUCAGCUCGUGUGGUGACAUGUUGGGUUAAGUCCCGCAACGAGCGCAACCCUUGUCUUUAGUUGCCAGCAUUCAGUUGGGCACUCUAGAGAGACUGCCGUGGUUAACACGGAGGAAGGUGGGGAUGACGUCAAGUCCUCAUGGCCUUUAUAUCCAGGGCGACACACGUGAUACAAUGGAUGACACAAAGGGAAGCGAACUCGCGAGAGGGAGCGAAUCUCAAAAAGUCAUUCUCAGUUCGGAUUGGAGUCUGCAA